GAUGAACGCUGGCGGCGUGCCUAAUACAUGCAAGUCGAGCGAACAGACGAGGAGCUUGCUCCUCUGACGUUAGCGGCGGACGGGUGAGUAACACGUGGAUAACCUACCUAUAAGACUGGGAUAACUUCGGGAAACCGGAGCUAAUACCGGAUCAUAUAUUGAACCGCAUGGUUCAAUAGUGAAAGACGGUUUUGCUGUCACUUAUAGAUGGAUCCGCGCCGCAUUAGCUAGUUGGUAAGGUAACGGCUUACCAAGGCGACGAUGGGUAGCCGACCUGAGAGGGGGAUCGGCCACACUGGAACUGAGCCACGGUCCAGACUCCUACGGGAGGCAGCAGUAGGGAAUCUUCCGCAAUGGGCGAAAGCCUGACGGAGCAACGCCGCGUGAGUGAUGAAGGUCUUCGGAUCGUAAAACUCUGUUAUUAGGGAAGAACAAAUGUGUAAGUAACUAUGCACGUCUUGACGGUACCUAAUCAGAAAGCCACGGCUAACUACGUG
rnacentral:rRNA from 1 species